rnacentral:rRNA from 1 species
CCUACGGGAGGCUGCAGUGGGGGAUAUUGCACAAUGGGGGAAACCCUGAUGCAGCGACGCCGCGUGUGGGAAGACGGUCCUCUGGAUUGUAAACCACUGUCCCCAGGGACGAAGAUGACGGUACCUGGGGAGGAAGCUCCGGCUAACUACGUGCCAGCAGCCGCGGUAAUACGUAGGGAGCGAGCGUUGUCCGGAAUUACUGGGUGUAAGGGGAGCGUAGGCGGGACUGCACGUUGGGUGUCAAAUCUACCGGCGAAACCGGUAGCCGCACUCAAAACUGCAGUUCUUGAGUGAAGUAGAGGCAGGAGGAAUUCCUAGUGUAGCGGUGAAAUGCGUAGAUAUUAGGAGGAACACCAGUGGCGAAGGCGGCCUGCUGGGCUUUUACUGACGCUGAGGCUCGAAAGUGUGGGGAGCAAACAGGAUUAGAUACCCCAGUAGUC